GACGAGAUGGUCGAGCGGUCCAAGGUGCUGGUUUAAGGCACCAGUCCCUUCGGGGGCGUGGGUUCGAAUCCCACUCUCGUCA
rfam:Angiostrongylus costaricensis strain Costa Rica genome assembly, scaffold: ACOC_scaffold0000038